CGCUGGCGGCGUGCUUAACACAUGCAAGUCGAACGAUGAAGCUGGAGCUUGCUCCAGUGGAUUAGUGGCGAACGGGUGAGUAACACGUGAGCAAUCUGCCCUUGACUCUGGGAUAACUGCGGGAAACUGUAGCUAAUACCGGAUACGACACCUUGGGGCAUCCCGAGGUGUGGAAAGAAUUUCGGUCAAGGAUGAGCUCGCGGCCUAUCAGCUAGUUGGUGAGGUAAAGGCUCACCAAGGCGACGACGGGUAGCUGGUCUGAGAGGACGACCAGCCACACUGGAACUGAGACACGGUCCAGACUCCUACGGGAGGCAGCAGUGGGGAAUUUUGGACAAUGGGCGCAAGCCUGAUCCAGCAAUGCCGCGUGCAGGAAGAAGGCCUUCGGGUUGUAAACUGCUUUUGUACGGAACGAAACGGUCUGGGCUAAUACCCCGGGCUAAUGACGGUACCGUAAGAAUAAGCACCGGCUAACUACGUG
rnacentral:rRNA from 1 species